GGGACACUCAGGGAAGCUUUGGGAUUCAUCCUCACCUUUGCUUACGGAAUCCCUGGUGGUGCCAGCGCCACCCCAGCUGCAUUUCUGCCAUUCUAACCCUGUCCCCUGUGCUUCCCUGUGUGUUGCAGACAAGCCACUACCUCAGAGUGCCCCUGGAGGCAUCAUUGGGAUCGUGGGAGGUGUCAUCGCCGCCGUCUUCAUCAUCGGCGUGGCCGUCACCGUCAUCAUCGUCUACAGGCGGCAGCAGAAGAGCCGCUCCGACACCGACAACGACCUGAUUGACCUCCCUCCAUCCCACAAACCUGCCCCUCCACCAAAGAGGAAACAGGACAUGAAAAGCCACCUGACUCCAGAAGACAUCCAGGUUGUUCACUUGGACAACAUGAAACACGAGGAGGAGAUCCAGAAGUUCCCUCUGCAGCCUCCCUACUACGACAUGGCAGCCCCCGAGCCCUCUCCCUACAGUGACAAGCUGGUAAGGAGCACAGGGUGACAGUGGCACUGCCUGGCACCUCAGCCCAGCCUCACCUGGCACCCAGGC
rnacentral:lncRNA from 1 species